AGAAACAAUUUGGACUUAACCAGCUCCAGACUUGUACCUAGAGUAGAACAUUAAUUUCUGCAACUUCAUGAGAACAAACCUUAUUCAACAAUUUCCCAAGUUCAACAUGCCUGGUCAUUUGGUAAUAAAGGAAAAUUUUGCCACUGCUCAAGUUAUGCACUCCAGGCUCCAGACUCAAGACUACUACUCCAGCCAGAUGAGCUAAUCUGAUCCUAGGCAUGCUUCUCCAGAAUCACUACAGGAAGCUCAAGAUCACUCUUACCUUCGUAAAUUUUUACAAAACUUAAAACAAAAGCUUGGCCAAACAAAUGUCUCAAUGAAGAUGAGACAUGCCUUCAUAUACAAUCUAAAGAAGAGUAACACUGCUACUUGAAAAGCAGUACAGAUUUCCAUACAUCUUAAACAAGACUAUUGCAUUCUCUAUUUUGAGAUUUCCCGAACUUCAGGCAAGGGUCAUGUCAGAAUUUUCAUCGUUUCACUGCUACAGGACCGCCAUGAAGAUACAAAUAUGCCUGAAAAUAAGAAUAUACUAUUAUCAAACAUGUUCUCACUUAUCUUGAUAUUUUUUCCAGAUGAUGAUGCUAAAAUACGGAGCGACAAAAAAUAGAGGUAAAAAUGAAUGGUUCUCAAUACACAUAGUAAUAAGGUUGCACUAAUUCGGGAAUUAGUCACACAAGCAUGACAUACAACAAGCUGGCUACAACUGACAGUAAGACACAAAGACAAACCAAAUCUUCAAAUCUACAUUAAGCUAGGCUUAGGAAUUCCUUGAUAAGUAAUACAAUCUUUUCUUUCUAGUUAAACACGCCUAAUGAGACAACAUGGUUAGUGUUAGCUACUUCCUAAAGCUAACAAUAACCGCAUCCAAAGUCACAGACAUACUCUCUCCGUUCCCAAAUAUUAGUCUUUUUGGAGAUUCCAACAAGUCAGUACAUACAAAGCAAAAUUAGUGAUUCUACACUCUAAAAUAUGUCUACAUACAUUCUUAUGUUGUUGUCCAUUUGAAAUGUCUAAAAAGACUUAUAUUUAGGAACGGAGGAGUAUAACGUAUGCAUGCUUCAGUGACACACUUGCAAAUGUGAGCUCCUAAAAAGACCACAAGUCAAAAACCUCAUCACAUACGAAUAUCACCGCCAUUCCAGCGAGAAUGUAUCCAACUGAAUGACUUCAAAGAGUUGUUCAAACAUUGAAUUAACCACCGCCCAUACUUAUCGGUGACCUUUUGGAUU
rnacentral:lncRNA from 1 species